UUAAUUGAAGCCAAAAAGAGGCAUAUCAUUGUUAAUGAUAAAACUGAGAAUAUCUCCAAUUAAA
rnacentral:tRNA from 1 species